rnacentral:rRNA from 1 species
AGAGUUUGAUCCUGGCUCAGGACGAACGCUGGCGGCGUGGAUUAGGCAUGCAAGUCGAGCGACGGACCUUCGGGUUACGGAGCGGCGAACGGGUGAGUAACACGUGAACAAUCUACCCUCUCAUUCCGGAUAAUUGGCCGAAAGGCCUUGUAAUACGGGGGAGGUUCCAUUUUAGGCAUCUUUAGUGGAACGAACAGGAAACUGGUGCGAGGAGGAGUUCGCGGAUUAUCAGGUAGUUGGUGGGGUAACGGCCUACCAAGCCUACGACGAUUAGCUGGUCUGAGAGGAUGGUCAGCCACAUUGGAACUGAGAUACUGUCCAGACUCUUACGGGAGGCUGCAGUCGAGAAUCUUGGGCAAUGCACGAAAGUGUGACCCAGCGACGCCGCGUGAAGGAUGAAGGCCCUCUGGGUUGUAAACUUCUUUUACGGGAGAAGAAUCAAUGACGGUAUCCCGUGAAUAAGCCACGGCUAACUACGUGCCAGCAGCCGCGGUAAUACGUAGGUGGCAAGCGUUGUCCGGAUUUACUGGGCGUAAAGGGCGCGUAGGCGGCGUGACAAGUCACUUGUGAAAUCUCCGGGCUUAACUCGGAAUGGUCAAGUGAUACUGUCGUGCUAGAGUGCAGAAGGGGCAAUCGGAAUUCUUGGUGUAGCGGUGAAAUGCGCAGAUAUUCGGAGGAACACCAGUAGCGAAGGCGGCUCGCUGGGCCACACCUGACGCUGAGACGCGAAAGCGUGGGGAGCGAACAGGAUUAGAUACCCCAGUAGUCC